GGUACUCCAGCAGAGAAAGAGGAGCAGUAGCACUGCAUUUUCCCCUUUAUCUCUCUGUCUUGUAUAACUUCACAAUUGGUUUAAGCCAAUAUAAAUGAUGUGGCAGAAACACUGGGCUGGUGUGGGGAAUGUGUAUCCUGACCUGAAGAAGGGAACAUUGGACCUGGAUAAUUGAAGGGACUGAUAAAAUGUACUCACUGCUCUACAAUGAAAACAUUUGCUUGGCCCUCUCCUCAUGUUUUCUAACAGGUUGUAUCAACUGACUUCAGUUUUGUGUGCAACAAAGAGCUCCACAAACCCUACUACUGCAGUGAUACCACCAGAGGCGAGCCUUCUGCUUCCUGACGUGGCUCUCUUCCGCCAGCAGUUGGGUCUGCAGUGAGAGGGGCCCAUGGCAAGGCACCAAGACUCCCCCGGGUAAUAUGGCUGGUGGUGCCCCUGGGUCCCUGUGGGGUGCUGCAGGCCCAGACCCUUACAGGAGCACCCAGGCAGCAGCAGUCUUUUGUAGACUGAAUUAAAAGAGCCUAUUGUAAAUUGGCAUAAAUUCAUAUAAAGUAAUUCCUACACAGUGUGACCACUCUGUUGUGCCAGAUGGAUGGUCCAGGAUCUGUGGCGUAAUGGGGAAUUGGGA